rnacentral:rRNA from 1 species
GAUCAUGGCUCAGGAUGAACGCUAGCUACAGGCUUAACACAUGCAAGUCGAGGGGAAACGAUAUUGGAAGCUUGCUUCCGAUAGGCGUCGACCGGCGCACGGGUGAGUAACGCGUAUCCAACCUGCCCAUCACUUGGGGAUAACCUUGCGAAAGUAAGACUAAUACCCAAUGAUAUCUCUAGAAGACAUCUGAAGGAGAUUAAAGAUUUAUCGGUGAUGGAUGGGAAUGCGU